AGUGCUAAUUACGAAAAGCAGAUAAAACGGUUACCAAAUCGAAAGAAAGCAGAUAAAGUAAAACUCCGCUCUCCACCUUAAAACGACGCUGCACACUCAACAGUUCACAUCACCACCGUGUAGGUGUGGUGGCGCCACCACUCUGCAACCCCCGGCAAACAGAAAAACCUCGAAAUAAAUCAAAUUCAAUCUCAAUUUCUUUUUGUUCAAUCCACCUUCUCAAAAAAAAAAAAAAAAAAAACAAUUCAAUGUCUGCCUCUCCGUUUCUCCCCAAUUUCUCGAACGCCAUAACCCCUUUCCCUCACAGCCCUAACAAAAUUCAAUCUGCUUUUUUCCUUUCCGCUCCUUUUACAUACAGUUUCAUCACCUUUUGCAGCUCCGUUGCUAAUGGCAGCAACAGCGCAAAAAUCGAACACGAAAAUAGAGAUUCUCGUAAGGAAUCUCCAGAGCAUAUUCCACAUUCACGUUCAACAAUCAAAGCCCCCACUGCUCCAUGGAUGAAUGGGCCUCUCCUUGUCAAGCCGAGCGAAAUCCUCGAAUCGCGGAGGACAAGGACUAGAAAACAUUUCGCCGCCGGCAGAAACGACGGCGAACAUACCGGCGGCGGACAUCCCGACGUCGAUUUGACCGGAAAAGUCGGAGGUGCAAGAGGCAAGGUAGCGAUGAAGAAAAUCUAUAAAGGCAUCGAGAAACUCCAGGAUACCCAGAAUGUCGAAGAACCGGGAAAAAACCUAGAAAAUCUCAAGUUCAAAUUCGCACCGGGAGCCCUCUGGGGAGAUAAAGGCGAAGUCGAGGAAAAUACGAAAGAAGCACGGUGGAAUUUGAAAAUCGAUGAUUUCGAUUUACCUUUCGGAGAGGCUGAGAAUGAAGCGAAAUCGAAAAAAAUGCCAUGGGAGAGUGAUGAGACAGUUGUUAUUAGGAGGGUACAGAAGGAGAAAGUAGUGACAUCAGCAGAGUCGAGCCUCGAUCCAGUGUUGCUCGAAAGGUUGAAAGAAGAAGCUGCAUUGAUAAGGAAAUGGGUAAAGGUUAAGAAAGCUGGUGUGACUCAAUCUGUUGUCGAUCAAGUUAGUUUGUUUUGGAGAAAUAAUGAGCUUGCAUUGGUCAAUUUCGAUCUUCCUUUAUGUCGGAAUAUGGAUAGAGCUCGAGAAAUCAUCGAGAUGAAAACCGGAGGGCUUGUCGUUUGGAGUAAUAAAGAAUUCCUAGCUGUUUACAGAGGGUGCAAUUAUAAGUCCGGUCCAAAACAAUUUCGCAAUAUUUACCGAAAUACCACGGCUAUUGCCCAAGAAAGUUGUGAUGGAAGAGAUAGUGAAUGGGAAAGCAGUAUACACAUGACAUCACUAUACGAGAGGGAAGCUGAUAGAUUAUUGGACGGGUUGGGCCCACGCUUUGUUGAUUGGUGGAUGCAAAAGCCUUUGCCAGUCGACGGGGACUUACUUCCAGAAGUUAUUCCUGGAUUUAAGACACCUUUUAGGCUUUCUCCACCUUCUACUAGAGCCAAGAUUACAGACAAUGAACUCACAUAUUUGAGGAAGCUUGCUCGACCUUUACCCACUCAUUUUGUUCUUGGAAGAAACCGGAAGCUGCAAGGAUUAGCUGUAGCUAUCUUGAAAUUGUGGGAAAAAUGCCAUAUAGCAAAGAUUGCUGUGAAAUGGGGUGUUCAGAACACAGACAAUGAGCAAAUGGCUAAUGAACUCAAGGAUCUCACUGGCGGAGUUCUUUUACUGCGUAACAAGUUCUUGAUAAUUCUCUAUAGAGGGAAUGACUUUCUUCCCCCUGAAGUUGCAAAAUUAGUGGCCGAACGAGAAAUGGAGCUGACAAAAUGCCAACUCGAAGAAGAAGCCGCAAGACUAAAAGCAAGCAAAAACUUUUCUAUCACUGACGAAAAUUUGAAUAACUCCGGAUUUCUCGGUACUUUAUCAGAAUUCCAUAGUAUUCAUUCAGAAAUCAGUAAGGAGAAAAAAGGAGAGACCGAGUUUCAAGUUCAAGUUGAAGCAGAAAAGGAAAGAUUGGAAAAGGAACUCAAAAAUCAAGAACGAAAGCUCUCUAUCCUUAAGAAGAAGAUAGAGAAAUCGGCCAAAGUAUUAGACAAACUGAAAAAUGAGUCGAGUUUUUCCAAGCAAGAUCCAGACGUGGAAACCAUAUCCGAAGAGGAGAGAGAAUUGCUUCGGGAAAUGGGAUUGAAGUCCGAUAGUUGUUUAGUGCUUGGGAGACGUGGGGUUUAUGAUGGUGUAAUAGAAGGAAUGCAUCAACACUGGAAGCACAGAGAAAUCGUGAAAGUUAUUACAAUGCAGAAAAAGUUGUCACGGGUUUUGUAUACAGCUAAAUUUGUCGAGGCGGAAAGUGGUGGUAUAUUGGUUUCGAUUCUUAAACUUAAAGAAGGCCAUGCUAUAAUUGUUUAUCGUGGGAAAAACUAUAAACGUCCAAAGUUAGCAUCUAUAAAUUUACUGAAUAAACGAGAAGCGUUAUCUAAGUCAGUUGAAAUCCAAAGACUUGGAUCACUGAAGUUCUUCGCUAGUCUAAGACAGCAGGCAAUCGGUGAUCUAAGACGCAAGCUGGCUGAGCUUUUAGAAAAAAAGGGCAUUGAUUGGACAAGCUGAUUAGCCCAUUCAACACAUAUUGUUGUUUUGUGAACCCACUGGAGUCUCUUUGGUGUGUGAUACGGCAUCGAAAACAUAUUCAACACAUGCGAAAGGACUUCCGUUGAGGAUGCCCUAAAAGUUUAGCAAUUCUGUGAAGUACAAACAUGAAGGAAAUAAAGAGAGUUUACAUGAAAGAAACAGAAAUGAAGAAUGAGUUACACGUACCGUUUCCUCCACCAGGUGGAGUAUCGUUGCUGCAGCUGCUAUUGCGAUGCCCGUCCCUGCAGUAGCAAGCAAACGACGCCGCAUCCUGAUUGUACCCGCACGCGCCGCCGGAUCUGGCACAUUCAUCGCAGCUGUCGUUCUCCGCCGACCACCGGAUCGAGAAUCCACUCGCAAGAGCAGACUGCAGUAAUGUUGUCGAUGUGGUCGCGACCACUCCCAAAUCCCGCGCCGCAUUUUGAUUCACCGGAACAGAGAUACUAUUACUGCACGUGGCCCCAUCUCCGAGCCCCGAUGCUUCCCUCGUAAAAAACAAACUCCAGCUGUUUGUCCCAUUCACAUCGCAAUUGAACUGAUUGGGAAACGUUGAAGGAGUCAGCAGCGACUGAUUCAGGCCACAGCCGUAGUACAGAGUAAUAUUCUGAUCAUCCGCAGCCGAAUAAAAAUCGAAGAGGGAAAAAUUUAAGGUUGUGUUGAAGAGAAAUUGUGGACAAAUGUUGUUCCAAAGAUCUCCUCUCGAGACCCUGACAGUUUGCGUGGAGUUGUUAAAAUCGAAGACUCGAUACAACAACGGUGGCAUGCUGAGCAAGGGGCCAUCGCCCCCACAGUUGAGCUCGAAUCCUGGAUAGCCGCAGGCAGGGGGGCGGUCGCCCCCCCAAAAGGGGUACGCUAAUUCGGUAUUCAUACUACCACACCGAAACGGCUGCCUGCAGGUUUCGUACUGCUGAUCGUUUUGACACAGACAGGGUUGUAUUACUAGUAAUACAACGAGGCUUGCCAGGAUUAACUGGAGGAUUCUUUGAUCGAUUUUUCGCUCCAUAUUUGGUUUUAGUUAUGAACUUGACUUGAGAUAGGCUUUCCCUCCAGCUCUGUGUAGUGUGUGGAAACAAAGUUUAUUUUUAUUUAAAGCUGACUUUGAAUUGAA